rnacentral:rRNA from 1 species
AACGAACGCUGGCGGCAUGCCUAACACAUGCAAGUCGAACGAGACCUUCGGGUCUAGUGGCGCACGGGUGCGUAACGCGUGGGAACCUGCCCUUAGGUUCGGAAUAACUCCCCGAAAGGGGUGCUAAUACCGGAUAAUGUCUUCGGACCAAAGAUUUAUCGCCUUUGGAUGGGCCCGCGUUGGAUUAGCUAGUUGGUAGGGUAAAAGCCUACCAAGGCGACGAUCCAUAGCUGGUCUGAGAGGAUGAUCAGCCACACUGGGACUGAGACACGGCCCAGACUCCUACGGGAGGCAGCAGGGGGGAAUAUUGGAAAAUGGGCGAAAGCCUGAUCCAGCAAUGCCGCGUGAGUGAUGAAGGCCUUAGGGUUGUAAAGCUCUUUUACCCGGGAUGAUAAUGACAGUACCGGGAGAAUAAGCUCCGGCUAACUCCGUG